rnacentral:rRNA from 1 species
CUCAGUAACACGUGGCUAACCUGCCCUUGGGACAAGAAUACCCCCGGGAAACUGGGGCUAAUUCUCGAUAGGUGAAGAACUCUGGAAUGAGUCUUCGCUCAAAAGAUGCUAGAGUUAUGCUCUUUAGUUUCGCCCAAGGAUGGGGCCGCGGCCGAUCAGGUUGUUGGUGAGGUAAUGGCUCACCAAGCCUUUUACCGGUGCGGGCCGUGGGAGCGGGAGCCCGGAGAUGGGCACUGAGACAAGGGCCCAGGCCCUACGGGGCGCAGCAGUCGCGAAAACUUUGCAAUAAGCGAAAGCUUGACAGGGCUAUCCCGAGUGCCAUCCGCUGAGGAAGGCUUUUACCCAGUCUAGAACGCUGGGGGAAUAAGGAGAGGGCAAGUCUGGUGUCAGCCGCCGCGGUAAUACCAGCUCUCCGAGUGGUGUGGAUGUUUAUUGGGCCUAAAGCAUCCGUAGCUGGCCAGGUUAGUCCCCUGUUAAAUCCACCGAAUUAAUCGUUGGAUUGCGGGGGAUACUGCUUGGCUAGGGGACGAGAGAGGCAGACGGUAUUUCCGGGGUAGGGGUGAAAUCCUAUAAUCCCGGGAGGACCACCAGUGGCGAAGGCUAUCUGCUAGAACGCGCCCGACGGUGAGGGAUGAAAGCUGGGGGAGCGAACCGGAUUAGAUACCCGGGUAGUCCCAGCUGUAAACGAUGCAGACUAGGUGUUUGGACGGCCACGUGCCGUUCUAGUGCCGCAGGGAAGCUGUUAAGUCUGCCGCCUGGGGAGUACGAUCGCAAGAAUUGAAACUUAAAAGGAAUUGGGC